rnacentral:rRNA from 1 species
AACGAACGCUGGCGGCAUGCCUAACACAUGCAAGUCGAACGAGACCUUCGUGCCUAUUUGCGCACGUGUGCGUAACGCGGGGGAACCUGCCCUUAGGUUCCGAAUAACUCCCUUAAAGGUGUGCUAAUACCGGUUAAUGUCUUCGGGCCAACGAUUUAUCGCCUUUGGAUGGGCCCGGGUUGGAUUAGCUGGUUGGUAGGGUAAAAGCCUACCAAGGCGACGAUGCAUAGCUGGUGUGAGAGGAUGAUCAGCCGCACUGGGACUGAGACACGGCCCAGAAUCGGAGGGGAGGCAGCAGUGGGGAAUAUUGGACGAGGGACGAAGGCGUGGUAAAGCAAUGCCGCGUGAGUGAUGAAGGCGUUAGGAUUGCAAAGCUCUUUUACACGGGAUGAUAAUGACAGUAACGGGAGAAUAAGCUCCGGCUAACUACGUG